AGAAGAUGAAAUUAAG
rnacentral:sRNA from 1 species